AGUUGACGAAAAUCAUUUCAUGAGUGUAAGCAUAAAUGACAGAUAAGGAAGCAAGACUUAUAUUUGGCGGGCGGACAAGCAAUUGAUUGAUAUUUUUUGCAUGAAAUUGAGGAAGUCAAAAAGACGUUUCAAGAUAGAAAUUACAAAC